rnacentral:rRNA from 1 species
UACGUAGGGUGCGAGCGUUGUCCGGAAUUACUGGGCGUAAAGAGCUCGUAGGUGGUUUGUCGCGUUGUUCGUGAAAUUCCCUGGCUUAACUGGGGGCGUGCGGGCGAUACGGGCAGACUGGAGUACUGCAGGGGAGACUGGAAUUCCCGGUGUAGUGGUGGAAUGCGUAGAUAUCGGGAGGAACACCAGUGGCGAAGGCGGUUGCCUGGGGCUUUGCUGACGCUGAUGCGCGAAAGCGUGGGGAGCGAUCCGG